GUUGUAUAGUCAAGUAAUUAAGUGCAUGUGGUGGAUGCCUUGGCAGUCAGAGGCGAUGAAAGACGUGAUAGCCUGCGAAAAGCUCCGGGGAGGCGGCAAAUAUCCUUUGAUCCGGAGAUGUCUGAAUGGGGGAACCCACCUACUUUAAGGUAGGUAUUGCAACAUGAAUACAUAGUGUUGCAAGGCGAACGAGGGGAAGUGAAACAUCUCAGUACCCUUAGGAAAAGAAAUCAAUUGAGAUUCCCUCAGUAGCGGCGAGCGAACGGGGAUCAGCCCAUUAAGUUAUGUGUGUUUUAGUGGAACGCUCUGGGAAGUGCGAACGUAGAGGGUGAUAUUCCCGUACACGAAAGGGCACACAUAAUGAUGACGAGUAGGGCGAGGCACGUGAAACCUUGUCUGAAUAUGGGGGGACCAUCCUCCAAGGCUAAAUACUCCUGACUGACCGAUAGUGAACCAGUACCGUGAGGGAAAGGCGAAAAGAACCCCUGUGAGGGGAGUGAAAUAGAUCCUGAAACCGCAUGCAUACAAGCAGUGGGAGCACCUUCGUGGUGUGACUGCGUACCUUUUGUAUAAUGGGUCAGCGACUUAUAUUCAGUAGCAAGGUUAACCGUAUAGGGGAGCCGUAGAGAAAUCGAGUCUUAAUAGGGCGUUUAGUUGCUGGGUAUAGACCCGAAACCAGGCGAUCUAUCCAUGAGCAGGUUGAAGGUUGGGUAACACUAACUGGAGGACCGAACCCACUGUCGUUGAAAAGCCAGGGGAUGACUUGUGGAUAGGGGUGAAAGGCUAAUCAAGCCUGGUGAUAGCUGGUUCUCCCCGAAAGCUAUUUAGGUAGCGCCUCGGACGAAUACCAUAGGGGGUAGAGCACUGUUUCGGCUAGGGGGUCAUCCCGACUUACCAAACCGAUGCAAACUCCGAAUACCUAUGAGUACUAUCCGGGAGACAGACUGCGGGUGCUAACGUCCGUAGUCAAGAGGAAAACAAUCCAGACCGCCAGCUAAGGCCCCAAAAUCAUAGUUAAGUGGGAAACGAUGUGGGAAGGCAUAGACAGCUAGGAGGUUGGCUUAGAAGCAGCCACCCUUUAAAGAAAGCGUAAUAGCUCACUAGUCGAGUCGGCCUGCGCGGAAGAUGUAACGGGGCUAAAACUAUGUGCCGAAGCUGCGGAUNNNNNNNNNNNNNNNNNNNNNNNNNAUGCUGGAGGUAUCAGAAGUGCGAAUGCUGACGUGAGUAACGACAAAACGGGUGAAAAACCCGUUCGCCGAAAGACCAAGGGUUCCAGUCCAACGUUAAUCGGGGCUGGGUGAGUCGACCCCUAAGGCGAGGCCGAAAGGCGUAGUCGAUGGGAAAAUGGUUAAUAUUCCAUUACUUCUGUGUAAUGCGAUGAGAGGACGGAGAAGGCUAAAUCAGCCUGGCGUUGGUUGUCCAGGUGAAAGGAUGUAGGCAUGUAUCUUAGGCAAAUCCGGGGUACUCUAUGCUGAGAUCUGAUAGCAAGCUGUACUUGUACAGCGAAGUGGUUGAUGCCAUGCUUCCAGGAAAAGUCUCUAAGCUUCAGUUACACAGGAAUCGUACCCGAAACCGACACAGGUGGUCAGGUCGAGUAGACCAAGGCGCUUGAGAGAACUCUGCUGAAGGAACUAGGCAAAAUGGUACCGUAACUUCGGGAGAAGGUACGCUGUUGUUGGUGAUGGAACUCGCUUCCUGAGCUGACGACAGCCGCAGAAACCAGGCCGCUGCAACUGUUUAUUAAAAACAUAGCACUCUGCAAACACGAAAGUGGACGUAUAGGGUGUGAUGCCUGCCCGGUGCUGGAAGGUUAAUUGAUGGGGUUAGCGUAAGCGAAGCUCUUGAUCGAAGCCCCAGUAAACGGCGGCCGUAACUAUAACGGUCCUAAGGUAGCGAAAUUCCUUGUCGGGUAAGUUCCGACCUGCACGAAUGGCAUAAUGAUGGCGGCGCUGUCUCCAGCAGAGGCUCAGUGAAAUCGAAAUCGCUGUGAAGAUGCAGUGUACCCGCGGCUAGACGGAAAGACCCCGUGAACCUUUACUGCAGCUUGACACUGAACUUUGACCUUACUUGUGUAGGAUAGGUGGGAGGCUUUGAAGCUGGAACGCUAGUUCCAGUGGAGCCGUCCUUGAAAUACCACCCUGGUAAUGUUGAGGUUCUAACUCUGUCCCGUGAUCCGGGACGAGGACCGUGUCUGGUGGGUAGUUUGACUGGGGCGGUCUCCUCCUAAAGAGUAACGGAGGAGUACGAAGGUGCGCUCAGCGUGGUCGGAAAUCACGCGUAGAGUAUAAAGGCAAAAGCGCGCUUAACUGCGAGACCCACAAGUCGAGCAGGUACGAAAGUAGGUCUUAGUGAUCCGGUGGUUCUGUAUGGAAGGGCCAUCGCUCAACGGAUAAAAGGUACUCUGGGGAUAACAGGCUGAUACCGCCCAAGAGUUCAUAUCGACGGCGGUGUUUGGCACCUCGAUGUCGGCUCAUCUCAUCCUGGGGCUGAAGCAGGUCCCAAGGGUAUGGCUGUUCGCCAUUUAAAGAGGUACGCGAGCUGGGUUUAGAACGUCGUGAGACAGUUCGGUCCCUAUCUACCGUGGGCGCUGGAAAUUUGAGAGGAUCUGCUCCUAGUACGAGAGGACCAGAGUGGACGAACCUCUGGUGUACCGGUUGUGACGCCAGUCGCAUCGCCGGGUAGCUAUGUUCGGAAGGGAUAACCGCUGAAAGCAUCUAAGCGGGAAGCCUACCUCAAGAUAAGAUUUCCCUAGGACUUUAUGUCCUCUAAAGAGCCGUUCGAGACUAGGACGUUGAUAGGUUGGAUGUGGAAGCAUAGUGAUAUGUGAAGCUGACCAAUACUAAUUGCUCGUGAGGCUUGACUAUACAACACCCAAGCAGUUG
rnacentral:rRNA from 1 species